rnacentral:rRNA from 1 species
GACAGAGGUGCCGAGCGUUAGGCGGAAUCACUGGGCUUAAAGCGUGUGUAGGCGGAUCGUUAAGUGUCUUGUGAAAUCCCACGGCUCAACCGUGGAAUGGCUGGGCAUACUGGCGAUCUUGAGCGGCCUAGGGGCAGAUGGAACAAGUGGUGGAGCGGUGAAAUGCGUAGAUAUCACUUGGAACGCCAAUGGUGAAAACAACUCGCUGGGGAAGUGCUGACGCUGAGACACGAAAGCCAGGGGAGCGAACGGG